rnacentral:rRNA from 1 species
UGCCAGCAGCCGCGGUAAUACGGAGGGGGUUAGCGUUGCUCGGAAUCACUGGGCGUAAAGGGCGCGUAGGCGGCUUGACAUGUCUGACGUGAAAGCCCCGGGCUCACCCCGGGAAGUGCGUUGGAAACUGCCAGGCUAGAGUCUCGGAGAGGGAGGUGGAAUUCCAGGUGUAGCGGUGAAAUGCGUAGAUAUCUGGAAGAACACCGGUGGCGAAGGCGGCCUCCUGGACGAUGACUGACGCUGAGGCGCGAAAGCGUGGGGAGCAAACAGGGUUAGAUA